rnacentral:tRNA from 1 species
GGCUGGGGCUCAGGGUAGAGCGCUGGCCUAGCAGUGUGAGGAGCUGGGUUCGAUCCCCAGCAAGACA